AUAAGCAAAAUAAGGGCGUAUGGGGAAUGCCUAGGCUCUCAGAGGCGAAGAAGGACGUGAUAAGCUGCGAAAAGCUACGGGGAUCGGCACACACGACUUGAUCCGUAGAUAUCCGAAUGGGGCAACCCACUAUGUUGAAGACAUAGUAUCCUGUAUAGGAGGCGAACCCGCUGAACUGAAACAUCUAAGUAGGCGGAGGAGAAGAAAACAAAAGUGAUUCCGUAAGUAGU
rnacentral:rRNA from 1 species